CGCAUGCUUCUCCAGUAAUCACCAUAUGGACAUGUUCCGAUGUCGGAAUAAUUGUACAUAAUGAUUUCUCCAACCAUUAAUUGAGGCCUAGUAGCAAAAUUCAGAUCUUGAAUUUUCAUGAUUUCCUUUGCUAUAUCAGGUGAAGAUACAACAACGUGUGAUACUUCUCCAAGACGUAAAUGAAAGAUCGGUCCAUAAUUUUGCGAUAGAUCUCUAAAAGUAUGAUGUGGAAGGCGACCAUUCAUUAACUGGUGCAAGUUCCCAAUAAAAGGUAGCCUCCAUGGCCCUGGAGGCAAUUUUUUGUUCAAGGUUUUUGAUUGCUUCCAUAAAAGAAGGAUGAGAGAAAGGAAUAACAAGAGUGAAGCGAAGAUGAAAAGUAAAUGUUGUAUCUCCAUAGAAAUUAUAUUUCUUAUUUUCCCCCUUUGGAGAAGCUCAAAUAUUUAAGUAAAAAUUAGGCAAAUCACAUAGUAUAAGAAAGAAAUUACUUCCUAUCCCUACUUUUUCAUUAAUUACCAAAAUCCCUUUUUUAGUGUCUUUCGGAUACAUAAUAUUGCAGGCGGAUACUUAAAUUAUUAAGUUCUUGUUAUCAGUUUAAUGCGUUAAAUAAGGGAUUAAAACGGAAAUUAUAAUUGACUCCCACAAAUCACGCGUACGUUUCUUCCUUCAACCAAUCAGUCGUUCAUAAACCUCUAAUUGAAUUAUAAUUUUUAAAUUUCAAAUUAUGAAACCUUCUCGUUGUUCUUUGAAAAAACAGUAAAAGUUUGAUUCAAACAAUUUUGGAACGCAAUUUUGUGAAGAUUCGAAAUAUUUUGGAUCAUGGGAAAGUGAUGUUACGAGCGAUACAGAAGUGAUGGGAUAGUAGUUGGGGAAAAUAUUUCGUUCGUGAAUCUUAUUUACAUUGUUUGUCUUAAGAGAAAAACUUGUUCAUGUGGUAGAUUUCAACAUGAUGAGAUACCUUGUGUGCACGCAAUGACCGUUUUGAAGAAGAAGAAUAUUAAAGAUAUACACCCCUACUGCUCUGAUUACUAUAAACAUGAUGCAUUAACAAAUACUUAUGCAAUUCCAAUGGGACCAAUGCCAGACAAAAAUGAUUGGACAACUCCAGAAUGUGUUUUGGAAGAAGUCGUCUUGCCACCAAGAUACAAAAAAAUGCUUGGUAGACCAAGAAAAAAGAGGAAGAAAAAUCCAGACAAAAAGCUAAGUACAAAAACGAAUUGUUGUGGACGUUGUGGACAAGAAGGUCACAAUAUAAGAACAUGUACUUUCUUUCCAAAAGAUUUUUGAUGAUUACUUUUUAAGAAUUUUUAUGCUUCAUGUGUACUAAUUUUCUGUAUAUUUUGAAUCUGCUAAUAAGAUAUUAUCAUUUGGUGUGAUUUUAACUUUAUAUAAAUGUUACAAGCGACAAACUGUUGAAUAUGCAUUUUUUGCAUGUAUGGCGUACUUUUGAUCUCUCCUAAUGUUACUUCUCGAGUCUCUGAACAAUAACUUCUCAAAGCCCCAUAGCCUAUAACAACCACCAUAUGUAAUUAAGUAACAAAUGGAGAGUAUGAAAGGAAUAUGUAAAAAAAAAAAAUCAUUUCAUUGCUGAUUUGAUGGUCAGUACCUAAAAACUUUACAACAACAUAAAUUCAAUAUACCUAAAUAUAUUGAAUUGUUUUAUACCUAGUGUAAAACAUAUUGUAUCAUGUGUUGGGGUAUAUAACAAUUAAGUUAUUUGAUAAUUUAUUUAGUAUCAUAUACGUUAUAGUUCAACUAUAUUUUGUAUCUAAUAAUAAAAAAAUGUUAGUUGUUAUGAUUUAAAUCAAUGUUACAAGAUUUAACUUGUUAAAGGAUACUAAAUAUAUUGAAACUUAAUUGUUUUGUACCAAUUGUAACAUAUACACAAAUUUAUUAUUUGAUAAUAAAAUGUGUAUCAUAUACAUAAUAAUUUUAUGGAGAUUGUGUAUAUGAUAAUAAUAUAGUAUCAUAUGUUGUGAUUUACAUCAAGGCUACCACAUGUUAAUAGAUACUAAAUAAAUUGAAAAUUAGUUAUUGUUUACCAAGUGUAAAAUAUAUAGUAUUAGAUAUUCUGUAUCUGAUGGUUAUAUUGUUUCAGCAGUAUUGGUGUAUAAGAUACAAUUUGUAACAAGAUACUAUAUAAUAAACUAUAUAUAUUGGAACAAUAAUUAAAAUUGAAAUACAAUUUUUGACAAAAACAAUCUUCAAAUUAAUAAUUACUUAGAAUAAUUGUGUUGAAACGGGAAGAAAUAUUACAAAAUACUAAUUAACGUAUCUUCAAUACAAUAAAACAUAACUAUUCUACAUUAAUCAUUCCGCCUUCUGCUGGUGUAGUGUAGCCACUCUUCGGCCUUGUAGGAUCAUCAUUAUCGCUAACAUAUUCCCGCCUUGAACUUGUCGAUACCAUACUUCCAUAACAGUGUUGCAUAUCUAUUGCAAAGAUAGUCACUCCGAAAACUAAUACUUGGAAUGUUGAUUUCGUCGCUCAGGUAUUCAGCUCAAGUUGCAUUUGGGGAUAUUUAGGUAUGGGGCAUAUAUGGUAUCCUUGAAUAACUCAAUACCUUAGUCCUUUAUUGACAAGACUAAAUCUUCAAUAAAAUUGGAGUUGUAGGUAGGACCAAACUUUAGGGAGUUCUUUGGAAUAUGUUUAAUUACAUAAAUCAUAUUCUGCAAUUACAUAAAAAUGAUUUUUAUCAAACAUAAAAAAAAGUACAUGAUACAUUCAUACCUACAACUAGAAAUGCUAUACUAUUAUAGAAAUAUAAUGAUGUUUCGCUUUAAUUGAUACUAAAUAACAAGAAUACAUAAGAGGUACACAAAACCAAUUAUAUUGUAUAUACAGUAGCAUAAUUCAAUGUGAUACAAAUAUAAAUUCUCAUAACUAUUUUUAUUCUUUUAAGUAUCAUAUAGAGAAUUAUCAUUGACUAUGAUGCACAGUACCAAAAUCAACCUAGAUGCCAAAUUGUGAAUUAAGCAAGUAUCUUAGAUACAAUAAUGUUCAUUUCAUUUGAUACUAAAUAACAACAAAACAUAAGAAAACAUAAGAGGUACACAAAUUCAAUUAUUCCUUAUAUACAGUGACAAAAAACAACCUACGAAGUAAAUGUGAUUUGAGUACUUAACUUCGAUACAGUUCUCUUCACUUUUGAUACAAUAACAGUUAAUAAACAAAUUUGCAAAAAAUUAAUGUAUCUGAAAAACAACUGAAUAUUUCAAAGAGGAUACUUAAUUAAAAAAUAAGAAAUUAUUUAUCAUCAGAUUAAAAAAAAAAAAAGGGGGAUGCAUAUAUGAUAAAAAUUGCAUACCAUGGGUAAUGUUGGUCUAUUAUAGUAGAUCUGGAAAGAAGGAACAAAGUAUCUAUAAGAAAGUAAACUGCAACAACAGCAUUCUCUUGAAUUUCUAAACAAGUUGCAACCAGAGAAAUGCACAAUUAUUUGAAAUAAAGGAACAAAGUUCUAAAGUUUAUUUCUACUAUUAAGAGAGAUCAAAAGGAGUAGCAAUUGAACAAAGAUCAUCCUUUCUUCUUGCAGUUGCUCCAUUUGUUACCGUCAUAUCAAAAUUCUCUAGAGGGCCUUCGUAAGGACUCUUCCAAUCGAAGUGAUAAAGCAAUUGAGCUAAAGAAUGUUCUACGUUCAUUAAGCAGAAUAACCACCCUGGACACAUUCUUCUUCCCGCACCAAAGGGAAUGAAUUCAAAAUGAUUUCCUCGAAAAUCAAUAGAACUAUUAUCAAAUCUCUCAGGAAUAAAGCUUUCUGAAUUAUGCCAAUAUUUAGGAUCUCUUCCGAUUGCCCAUGCAUUCACUAGGACUCUGGUUUUGAUAGGUAUUGUGUAUUCGCCAAUCCUUGUUUCUUCUCUACAUUCCCUUGGGAGUAACAAAGGAAGAGGUGGAUGCAACCUUAAUGUUUCUUUAAUCACUAAUUUUAGAUAUUUCAAUUCUUCUAAAUCAAUAUCCUCAAAUACUUUCUUCCCCUUAAGGACUUCUCUAACUUCAAGUUGUGCUUUAGCCAUGAUACUUGGAUUUCUUAUCAUUUCUGCAAAUGCCCAAAUAAUUGUUGUAGAUGAUGUUUCAGCUCCUGCUAAGAACAUGUCCUGUAUAUAACUAAAAAUAUUCAGAUAUACUUCAUUUUUAACAUUCCAAUAUUAUGAAUGAUUACUAAACUCAAAAUUUUAAUACUAAUAAAUAUUUUUAAAUAUAAAGAAGAAGAAGAAGAAGAGAGAAUAAGAAUGGGAUGUUUUAUUUGACACAACUUACAAAAAUAACUGCUUUGAUGUUAUUAUUUGUGAUGGGAGUUCCCAAUUCGCCACUCUCCAUGACUCGCAGUAGAACAUCGAUUAAAUCUUCACCUUCAGAUUCACUAUUACCCUUCUUACCAUUUGCUCGAUUUCUACAAUGUUCAUUAAUGAUAUUUUCCAAUAUUGCAUCCAUUUCGUUGUGAACCUUCAAUAUUUUCGACUUCAAUCCACAAAUUCCAUGAAGCCAUUUUCGGGAAGGAAAUACAUCAGUCAAGUCAAAUCCACCAGCUAAUAAAGUGAUAUCCUUCAACAACAUUAUCAACUUAUCUUGACCAUGAAUUAUUUUUCCAAAAGCAGAUCUACAAGUUACAGGACCUGUAAACCAAAAUAUCUUAUCUGUCAAGUUGAUUAAUGAAUCAGGCAUGGAAUUAAUCGAUGAAAUAAGACUUGACAUCUCUGCUUGUCGAAUUGAAUCAAAUGAUCUGACCAUCUUUGUGCUAAGAAGUUCCAGGGUGCACACUUUGCGCAUGUUUCUCCAGUAAUCACCAUAUGGACAUGUUCCAAUAUCCGAGUGAUUAUACAUAAUAAUUUCACCGAACAAUAAUUGAGGCCUAGUAGCAAAAUGAAGGUCUUGAAUUUUCAUGAUUUCUUUUGCUGUAUCAGGUGAAGAUACAACAACGUGUGAUACUUCUCCAAGACGUAAAUGAAAAAUGGGCCCAUAUUUUCGCGAUAAAUCUCUGAAAGUAUGAUGUGGAAGGCGGCCAUUCAUUAACUGGUGCAAGUUUCCAAUAAAAGGUAACUUCCAUGGCCCUGGAGGCAAUUUUUUGUUGAAGAUUUUUGAUUGCUUCCUUAAAAGAAGGAUGAAAGAAAGGAAUAACACUAGUGAAGUGAUGAUGAAUAGCAACUCCAUAAGCUGAAUAAUUAAGCAAAACAGGAUGGAUGAGAAAUUAGACACUCAAUAUAUAGAAUACAUUGAUUUAUGCCGUACAAAUUGUCAGCAUCAUUGGCUGCGCUAGCAAAAUUCACUUUUAUUUAGAACCUUUUGUUCUCCCAUUGGUUUAUGGACCAUUUCAAACAAGUGACCCAUCCCUAUACCAUAAGGACCAUUUCAAUCAAGUUAACUACGUUUAAGGACCAAAAUAAAGCAUUACCUAUACAUUACAGAUCGUUUUAAUAUCUUUCUCAAUGAACAUAUAUCUACACAUUCAAUAGGGACCGCUAUGAUUGAUUAUUGGUGUAAAAGGGACCACAAAAUUGACGUUUAUUUAACGCAUCUCAUUUUCUGAUUGAUUAAUUACACAAGUUGAAUCAAAUUUAGACAAGUUAAAAAUUAAAAUAAGCAUUUACUAGGAUUUUUUUUAAUUUUCAUAACUAAUUAAAUAAGCCACUCUUUAUUUAUCUAUUUAUCUAUCUAUCUUUUAUACUUUCUUUUCUUAUUUUACCAAUCGUAGGAAAAAAAUACAAUUUGUAGUAAGAUCUACAAAAAUAUAUAUGCUUGUGCCUAACUCUUUACUUUGUGUGUAAUCUCCUACUCUGUCCACUUUUAAUUGUCAUAUUGCUUUUUUCGAAAUUUAAUUUAAUUAAUUUUCAAAAUUAAAUUAUAUUACAUUAAUUCAAUAUUUUAAAUAAAAAAAAUUAGAUAUUCAAAAACUAUACAAAAAGUACUAAAAAUUUUAAUUUUUUGCAUAUCAAUAUGAUGAAAAAAUACAUCGUAAAAUGUUAGGCAAAAUUAUUAUCGUUUGACUCCAAAAAGAAAACUAUAACAAUGUGAACGGAGAUACUAUCAAUUUUAUGCCAUUUAUAUAUACUUCAGCAGAAUCACUAUACAGUCAGAUAAUCAAUCAUAUCGGUCCCUAUUGAAUGUGCAGAUAUAUAGAGUGCAAUAGACCACAAAAUUAUUUAGCACGUUGAUAUUUUGUUUGGUCAAUUACACAAGUUGAAUCAAAUUUAAAUAAGUUAAAAAUAAAAAUAAGCAACGUCAAUUAUUUAUUUACUAGGAUUUUAAUUUUAUAUUCAUAACUAAAUAAAAUAAUCUUUAUAUAUAUAUAUAUANNNNNNNNNNNNNNNNNNNNNNNNNNNNNNNNNNNNNNNNNNNNNNNNNNNNNNNNNNNNNNNNNNNNNNNNNNNNNNNNNNNNNNNNNNNNNNNNNNNNNNNNNNNNNNNNNNNNNNNNNNNAUAUAUAUAUGAGAUUUGAUUUAUGAUUCAUGUUAUUUUUGAUGAUAAUGGAUCUUUAUUUGUAAAUAUACAUUAAAAAGAAAUCAUACAUAUCUCAUUUUUUAUGAACUAAAUGUAGGUGAGUUAAAACAAGUCGUCAAUAAUUGGGAUAUUACUAUUCAUGUUUCUUCUUUACAAAUUUCAUAUGGCCUUAGAGCCUAACUAUUUCGAAUUUACAUCGCAUAGUGAUUCAUUUUAAGAAAACACUUUGUAUUAAGAAUUUUUUUAUACUUAAAGCUUGAUCAAUUAAAAAACAAUAUCCUCAUCCACUGUAGCCGCUACACUGUAUUCUUCGGUGAUAAUAGCAAUAUAGUUUAAUUUGUUGACUUUUCCUAUAAUAUCACCAAUCAUAUAAAUUAUUAACAAUAAUCUUUAAACAUAUUGACUUUUCCUAUUUUCUUUGUAUUUUCUCUUAUUAUAUGAGAGAUAGUUAGUGCUGAGAAUUUAUUUCUUUUGUUCUACUUUAAUUUAAUUUGUGUAUAUUUUUCUCUAAUAAGAGACAGUUAGUGCUGAAGCAGACACGUCUUCGUCGACGUGCCUGCUUCAGCGUCCUUCUGGAAAAAAAAUUAAAAAAAUGUUUCUUUUGUUCUACUUUAAUUUAAUACGGUUUAAAAAUUUAUUUCUUUUGUUUUGCUUUAAUUUAAUAUGUGUAUAUUUUUUCCCAAAAAAAAUAAUUUAUUUCUUUUGUUCUACUUUCCAAAAAAAAAUUAAAAAUUUAUUUCUUUUUUUCUACUUUAAUUUAGUUAGUGUAUACUUUUUUCGAAAUUAUGAAAUCCGUUUUAGCUAUGACUUUUAGUUUUAAAUUCAAGAAUUCACGCUGAAGCAGACACUUAUAAUAUUUAAAAAAAAUUAGUAUUUCUUUUGUUCUACUUUAAUUUAAUUAGUGUAUAAUUUUUUCGAACUUAUGAAAUCCGUUUUAGCUAUGACUUUUAGUUUUAAAUUCAUAUUCUAUAGUUAUUGCUUUAUUAUUUUGAAUAUUGGUAAUAUUUGUUUAUAUCUUGUAACUACUUUAAGUAAAAAAUUAACGGUCAAUGACGAAAAAUACUUUAAUUAUAAACAUCUUAAUGGACCUCUUCACAAAAAAAUUGUGCAAACAAAAAGUAAUUAACCACUUAUAUAUCUAAAAGACAAAUUAAAUUUAUUCAACUUUCUAAAUUCUACAUAUAUACAUAAAUUAAAAUAAAAAGAUACGAUAAUAUUGGGCCCGUGCUAGCACGGGCACCUAUAUCUAGUUGUUAAAUAAAUAGGAGACUAAACGAAUAUGAUUACUUCUUGAUGUUUUAAGCGUGCACGCAAACGCUGGUAAGUUCUAGUGGAAUAAUAUGGAAAUAUAAUUGUAAUCAUUUUAAAUUUAUCAAAUAAUUCAUAUUAUAUUAAAUUCAAGAUAUAUUAUCUCAAAUAAAUAUUGCAGAUUUAUCUAAGAAUAACUUACAAAAAUGACUAUAGUUUUAAGGUUAUUAAAUUAAAAUAGCUAUAAGUAUAUAUUUAAUGACUAUAGUUUAUGUCAUAAUCUAGGUGUAUCUAAAGUAUCGGUAGAUUUUUUAAAAAUAUAUUGAUACAUUUUUAAUUGUAAUGCACUAAAUAAGGUAAUUUUCGUUAUUGUAACUGAUUGUCCUUUAAUUAGCUCUCAAACUCUCAACUUCUAAUUAUUAAAUUAACAAUACAUAAUUAUCUAUUAAAGAGUUUUGUUUGCUUACUGAGUGCUUUUAUUUUUUUUGUUAAUUUAAUAAAUAAAUAUUCAGGUAUAAAAGUCAUUGCGAAUAAAAGGGAUAAUGGUUUGAAAAAUACCUCAACUUUGGUCGAAUUUGUUGUUGCGAUACUAAACUUUCAUGAGGACCUAUUACCUCCCAAGACCAUUUAAUACCGUAUUUUAAACAUGUAUAUUUCCCCACGUGGACAUAAAAAAUAAUGCAAUUUAAAAAUAGUAAUGUGUCCACGUGGGCACAUAUAUACCUUUAAAUACACUAUUAAAUAGUUCAUGGGGUAAAAAAUACGGUAUUAAAUAGUCUAGAAAGGUAAUACGUCCUUAUGAAAGUUUAGUAUCGCAACAUCAAAUCCGACCAAUGUUAAGGUAUUUUUCAGACCUUUAUCCCUGAAUAAAACAUGUAAGCAUUUGUAUGAACUAAUGUCCAAUUAAGAAAUCUUAUCUAUUAUAAACAAACAAACUUAUGUUUUUGAUAUUCGAUGAUAAUGGCUAAACUAAAACAUAAAUACUAAGUCAGAAAUAUAAAUACUAAAAUAAAUAAAUACAGUUAACUAACAUACAAAUGAAUACAUGGUUUAAUAUAUAUACAUACAAAAAUAAUGAAUAUUAAUUAAAUAUAUAAAAAAAAAUACAUGAAUAUUAACCAAUGAGCAAUACAAAUGAAUAUAUUGAUUUAGUAUAUAUACAUACAAAAAUACGUAGAUAUUAACUUAAUAUAUACAAAAAAAAAAAAACAUGAAUACUAUCAAUGGCAAGUGACUCAGUGAGAAAAUAUAAAUACUAGUGGUACCGUGUAGUAGCAUAUUUGCUAUUUAAUAUUUAAAUAAAUCCAUAAUAAAUAAAUAAAAUAUGCUAUAGCUAUGCCUUAAAUAUGCAGCAAAGUUUGUCAUAUCAUGUAGUUUUUCCUUUAAUAGAAUUGAGUUAAUGAUUUAAGUCCUAUAAAUAUGAAUUUGAUUAAAGUUCAAAUUCAUUAAUAGGAAAAUUGUGCGGUUAAGCAAACUUAUACUACUUAAUUAUUCAUCAUAGCUAUAGUUUGUUAUAAUUACCACUCGCGACUAACAUUAUACAUUAAUUACGUGGGCUGAUUUCGAGUUUGUAUAAUUAGCCAUGUUUUGUAUAUGUAUAAUUCACCAAAAUAUACAAAUACAUAUGUAUAAUAUACAAUUAUGUAACCGAUAUACAUAUACAAUUCACCUCUCUCUCUCGCCUCUCGCCUCUCGCCUCUCUCCUCCCUCUCUUAAUCUCGCUUGCCAUAUAUACAAAUGCAUAUGUAUACUAUAUACAAUUAUCUAACCGAUAUACAUAUAUAAUUCACCUCUUUCUCACUCUCUUCCUUCUCUCGCUCGCCUCUUUCCUCCCUCUCCCAAUCUCACUCGCCAUUUAUACAAAUACAUAUGUAUAAUAUACAAUUAUCUAACCGAUAUACAUAUACAAUUCACCUUUCUCCCACUCUUUGCCCCCUCUCUCUCGCCUCUCUCCUCUCUCUCCCAGUCUCGCUCGCCUCUCUCCUCUCUAUAACAUGUAGCUACGAAUUGUAAUUAUCAAACUAUAGCUAUGGAGAGUAAUUAAACUAUUUUUGAGUGGCUAUAUGUGAAAGUUCCUCUUCAUUAAUAUGGGCUACAAUAGAUGAACCCACUUUGCUAACCCCAAUGUCAUUCUAUCCCAGAGGUCCAGUUUAGGGCUACGUAUAUGUAGACAAUAAAAUUCGCGUCGAGAAAACAAUAAUCAAGAACGGAAAAAUAUCGCAACAAUUGUAUUUAUUAUUUUAAAGUGCUAGUGUUAGAAUCUCUAUGAUUCCUCUGAAUUCGUCUUUUCAAAUAUAAAUUCAAGUACUCUUGAGCUUAAUCUUGAAUUUGUCUUGAACUUGAUCUUGGAUUCAAAGUCUUUAAAGCUUAUUCUUGAAUCUUCGAUGAACUUGAACUUGAACUUUAUCUUGAUCUUAACUUUUUACUUGAAUUCAAGGGCUUCGAGCUUGUUCUUGAAUCUGAUGGUCUUGAUCGUUCUUGAACUUGAAUACUUGUAGCUUAUAGAGAAUUUUAUGGCGUUUGUACCACGGGUUUUCUCUAGCUUCUUGUUUAGAAUUUUCGGUCCCUUCUUUGAAUUAUGAGGACCCCUAUUUAUAAUUUUAGAAUAGAGGAGUUGCGAUUUGAAUAGGAACAAAUAUACUUGGCUUCUCACUUCCUCUGAUAACUCCAAUUACUUCUGUGGAUUUAAAAGUUGGAACUUGAUCCUGUUGAUUGAAUGUAGUGCCAUCAGGUGUGUGAAAAGGUACCAAAACUGUAAAUGCAUACAGAAAACUUAAUUUUGGAAAGAAACUAGAUGAUUGUAUGAUGGUUAUGUUAACGCCUACAAAGUUAAGGAGUGUAACAAAAGGUAGUAGAUGGUGUAAAAUUAGUUGCAUAACAGUCUCAAAACCAACACAAUUAAUCAAAUAAAUCCACUCACCUCAAUCCUAAACCAAUCCGAAGAGCAUUUAAAUAAAUAUCAAAAGGAGAGAAACUAAAUUUCAUUGAAUCAUGAAAUAUGCAAUAAGAGAGCUAGAUGGAUUGUAAUAUAAUAUAGUAGUUGAGCUAAUACAUACAUAAGUGAUUGUUAUGAGAGGUAUGCACUACACACACAAAAAAAAAAAGAAAGAUGCACCAGCUUAGAUUAAAGGAAUUAAAUUCUUGUCAGUGAGAAAACAAUUUCUGAGACCUUAUAAAUGGCAAUACUGACUUUUACAGCUGCAGCGAAGAACCAAAAUCUUUUAUCAUAACAACACCCAAAUCUUUUUGGGCUCUCUAUAUUAACUCAAAAUCGUUAUUUAUUACGGCUUGUGCACUAAUAAGCUCGUAAAUCCUUUCUUCUUUCUCAUUUUUCAAAUUUAUCGUGUGUACCAUAGAUUAGAUUUGGAAGAAAACAGAACAGUUAUUAGUUUAAUCAAAAGGAGUAGCAACCAGUAAAUGCACAAUUAUUUAUUUAUUUGAAACAAAGUUCUUAAGUUUAUAGAUCAAAUGUAGUAGCAAUUAAACAGAGAUCAUCCUUUCUUAUUGCAGUUACUCCAUCUGUUUCCGUCAUAUCAAAACUCUCUGGAGGGCCUUCAUAAGGAGUCUUCCAAUCGAAAUGAUAAAGCAACUGAGCUAAAGGAUGUUCUACGUUCAUUAAGCCGAAUAACUACCCUGGACACAUUCUUCUUCCUGCACCAAAGGGAAAUGAUUUCCUCGAAAAUCAAUAUGAUUAUUGUCAAAUCUCUCAGGAAUAAAGCUUUCAGGAUUAUGCCAAUAUUCAGGAUCUCUCCCAAUUGCCCAUGCGUUAAUUAGAACUCUGGUUUUGACAGGUAUUGUGUAUCCUCCGAUUCUUGUUUCUUCUCUACAUUCCCUUGGCAAUAAUAAAGGAAAUGGAAGAUGCAACCUUAACAUUUCCUUAAUCACUAAUUUUAAGUACUUCAACUCUUCAAGAUCAGUAUCCUCAAAUAUUGUCUUUCCCUUAAGGACUUGUCUAACUUCAAAUUGUGCUUUAGCCAUUGUUCUUGGAUCUCUUAUCAUCUCUGCCAAUGCCCAAAUGAUAAUUGCAGAUGAUGUCUCAGCUCCGGCUAUGAACAUGUCCUGCAUGUAACUAAAAAUCUUUGUGCUAAGAAGUUCCAGGAUGCACACUUUGCGCAUGUUUCUCCAGUAAUCACCAUAUGGACAUGUUCCAAUGUCCGAGUGACUAUACAUAAUAAUUUCACCGAACAAUAAUUGAGGCCUAGUAGAAAAAUGAAGGUCUUGAAUUUUCAUUAUUUCUUUUACUGUAUCAGGUGAAGAUACAACAACGUGUGAUACUUCUCCAAGACGUAAAUGAAAAAUGGGGCCAUAUUUUCGCGAUAAAUCUCUGAAAGUAUAAUGUGGAAGGCGGCCAUUCAUUAACUGGUGCAAGUUUCCAAUAAAAGGUAACUUCCAUGGCCCUGGAGGCAAUUUUUUGUUGAAGAUUUUUGAUUGCUUCCUUAAAAGAAGGAUGAAAGAAAGGAAUAACAC
rnacentral:lncRNA from 1 species